GACGAACGCUGGCGGCGUGCCUAAUACAUGCAAGUUGAGCGCUGAAGGUUGGUCCUUGUACCAACUGGAUGAGCAGCGAACGGGUGAGUAACGCGUGGGGAAUCUGCCUUUGAGCGGGGGACAACAUUUGGAAACGAAUGCUAAUACCGCAUAAAAACUUUAAACACAAGUUUUAAGUUUGAAAGAUGCAAUUGCAUCACUCAAAGAUGAUCCCGCGUUGUAUUAGCUAGUUGGUGAGGUAAAGGCUCACCAAGGCGAUGAUACAUAGCCGACCUGAGAGGGUGAUCGGCCACAAUGGGACUGAGACACGGCCCAAACUCCUACGGGAGGCAGCAGUAGGGAAUCUUCGGCAAUGGACGAAAGUCUGACCGAGCAACGCCGCGUGAGUGAAGAAGGUUUUCGGAUCGUAAAACUCUGUUGGUAGAGAAGAACGUUGGUGAGAGUGGAAAGCUCAUCAAGUGACGGUAACUACCCAGAAAGGGACGGCUAACUACGUG
rnacentral:rRNA from 1 species